rnacentral:rRNA from 1 species
CCUACGGGUGGCAGCAGUGAGGAAUAUUGGUCAAUGGGCGCGAGCCUGAACCAGCCAAGUAGCGUGAAGGAUGACUGCCCUACGGGUUGUAAACUUCUUUUAUAAAGGAAUAAAGUGAGGCACGUGUGCCUUUUUGUAUGUACUUUAUGAAUAGGGAUCGGCUAACUCCGUGCCAGCAGCCGCGGUAAUACGGAGGAUCCGAGCGUUAUCCGGAUUUAUUGGGUUUAAAGGGAGCGUAGAUGGGUUGUUAAGUCAGUUGUGAAAGUUUGCGGCUCAACCGUAAAAUUGCAAUUGAUACUGGCAGUCUUGAGUACAGUUGAGGUAGGCGGAAUUCGUGGUGUAGCGGUGAAAUGCUUAGAUAUCACGAAGAACUCCGAUUGCGAAGGCGGCUUACUGGACUGUAACUGACGUUGAGGCUCGAAAGCGUGGGGAGCAAACAGGAUUAGAUACCCGUGUAGUC